UUACGCUUUAGUACAUUGGUAACGUAAGAUCAUUUUCUAGCCAUGUCAUGCUAGUUAACAGUUAACAUUACAGAGAGUAAUUGUAACUUACCUUGGUGAAAAUGCUUUUGAACACACCAUCAUGUGUGGUGGAGUGUUAUCGAAGGUAAGCUUGGCCUCCUUACCGCUGCUAUCCAAGCCAUUCGUCGCCUUUUUGUCACCUCUGAAACAAGGCUUGUACUAUUAUUUUUCCACGCUGGAAAACGAUAAAAGGAUAUUCCGUUCUUAAGCUUUAUGCCACUUCUUUCGUGAGAACGACUAUUUCAGUUUAUAACACAGCAGGAAGACGGGAUCUUUAAAACUGCUUUCUUCCUCCAUGCAAAGAAGUCUGGCGCCAAAUGUUUGUGCCGCGGAUUCCCAGAAUGCUUUGCGUUCACCACUGGGAAUACGUUAUGAUGACGACACAUUGUCGACAUCAUGACGUAUUCCCAGUGGUGAACGCAAAGCAUUCUGGGAAUCCGCGGCACAACCAUUAGGCGCGAGACUCCUUUGCAUGGAGGAAGAACGCAGUUUUAAAGAUCCCGUCUACCUGCUGUGUUAUAAACUGAAAUAGUCGUUCUCACGAAAGAAGUGGCAUAAAGCUUACGAACGGAAUAUCAUUUUAUCGUUUUCCAGCGUGGAAAAAUAAUAGUACAAGCCUUGUUUCAGAGGUGACAAAAAGGCGACGAAUGGCAUGGAUAGCAGCGGUAAGGAGGCCAAGAUUACCUUCGAUAUCACUCCACCACACAUGAUGGUGUGUUCAAAAGCAUUUUCACCAAGGUUUCCCAAAACCGGAAAGAUGAGGAGGCAGUGGGAACUUGCCCUAAGAGGAGACGGUUUUGUUGCCUCUGACAGGACACUGCUCUGCAGUGAGCACUUCAGGAGUGAGGACUUUGACAGAACAGGGCAGAAUGUCUGGCUUAAAGAUGGUGUUGUGCCAAACAUUUUCAACUUUCCAGCUCCUCUUCAAAGGUUGGCAGCAAGAAGCACAAGCACCUCUAGAAGAGCGGAAGACAUCCUGCCAAUGGACUUGUCUCAGGAUGUACCUCAACAUGAUGUUGGAGUCACUGGAGCGAGGAGUUCGAGCCGCAAGCGUCAGGCCACUGACCACUUGUAUGCAUUCCCUACCAGCUGUCAUUGACACCUUAACAAGCCUGUCAGCUGUAGAUAUGUCCUCUGCAGCAGGAGGAGAAGAUCUUCCAUCCCCAUUUGCUGACAUUCCUGCCCUAGUACAUAACCACAGCUACCUUCCCAUCCGCUUUGGUCUUGUGGACAACGCUCCGUGUACAUUUCAGGUAAAGGCUGACUGAAAGUUGAUUUUGCCUAUAACCGAUAGUGCCAAUAGUCAAAUUCUGGGGGAAAACAAUCUCGCGAUAGUUUAUAAAGAGAAAUCUUCCCUUAAUUUCCACAUCCUUAUUAAUGAUUAUUAUUAUAAGUAAUGAUAUUAUUAUACUAACUCAAAUUUCAGGAUUUGUUGUGCGACAGGCUCUGAAGAAGCUGUCGUGUGAUGUCUGCCAUGCCAGCCUAGGGACAGACGCUGCAUCUGCCAUCAAGGACCAGAGCUACCACCUGCUGAUCUUAAAAAACAAUGGAGGUCUGGUGAUUCCAUCAGAAGGCACAGUGAGGGUCGUCAGGGCAGCAGAGUGGGUCAUUCGUCAGGCAUCAGCAAGUUCCAGAUGAUCACAGCCCAUCAAACUGCUAGAGGUCGUGUACACUGUACGGAAGAGGAUAGGGUCAGAGGAUGUGUUUGUGCUCAUUGGGGAAACGCAGUAUGGCAUAGACAGCCACCACCAUACGCUGUUAACAGUAGUUGUGUCCCUGUUUUCUAAGCUAAGGCUGCACCACAUCGCUAAAAUGACUAACCUUACCUUACAGAGCAACAACAUGCAACAGAAGCUCAAUAAAACUGUCCUUUUCAAAGGGCAUUAGCCCAAGCUCUGUUAUUAUGGGUCUUUUUUUUUUGUCCUCCACAGUAGUGUAGUUCUCUCUACAGGGUGGGGAUUUCAACAUGCAGCAUUUUUUUAUGUAUAUUUGUAAAGGGGAAUCUUCUAUCUAUUUUUUUUUAUUGCAAAUGUCACUUUUAUAAUAGUUAAAAAAAUAAAUAGACUUUUUCUAUUUUUCUAAUCUUUUGGGCUCAGUUGUGUUUCUAAAGUCAUAUCAAGAGACCUAGAAGCUGAAAUGUGGUCAGUUGAAUUGCUUGUUAUCCAGCAGAAAGAAAAAACAAUAUUCUAGCCUCUAUAACUCUGUGCCAGUACUUCACAUAAUUAUUCUGAUUGUUUCCUAAGAAACUACAGGGUCUCAGCUUUCUAAAGAGGUCAGGCAUUUGAUGGUAGGCAAAAAUAGCUGGGGACAGUGAUCUCUGAAGUAGGCACAGUGCAAUGUCGAGGGGAAAAGCCUAGUAAAUGGCCCAACCCUGAAGAAGUUAAUAAACGUAAUAAUUCAAAUUAUUUUAUUAUAAUAUUAAUAUUAUAAAAGUGUAUGUGUAUAUAUAUAUAUAAUCAUGUUGCCAAUAUGUACACUGAGUUUUAGUAGCCUAUAUAUUGAUUUAACAUAAAUACCUUGGGCGUGUGUAUAUUCAUUGCACCUAUAUGUUCUGUUCAAUGUUAUUUUCAUAUGGAAGUCCAUGGUUAUAAUUAUAAGUAUGCAGUGUCAGAAGUACAUCUCUGACGUUUAUAACAAACCAUAUAUAUACACUAAAUAUAAAUAUAACUAAACUACUUUUUACAUUAAUCUAGUAGUUUUACUUUCUAACUUAAGUUUAGAUUUUAUUAAAACUAAUAUCAAAAUUAAUUUAGCAUGAGGUACAUUAAAUAAUUGAAAAUGUAAACAAAACUGACACUAUUACAUACCAUUUUAAACGCCUGUGUGGGGCAAAUUUUAGGACCAUUGAAAUGAGGUCUUCAAUCUCACUGGCCUUUAGAGACUUGUACACCUUCUGCAUUGCCCCUAGAGGUAGAAAUAAUAUCGUCAACAUCGUAGCCAUUUGGAUAUGGUUUUAUUUAAAAUGAUGUACAUUGGGACAAGAACAAUUUUCCAAAGUGCAAAAUAAAAUUGCCUACAACUAUAGAAAAAGACUUAUAACUUGCCUAUGAUCAUGUUGCAAUAUUUUGCGCAAGGUUGCACCUGGGUUUUCUCCUCCAAGGGACGGAAGGUAAUUCAUCUGUUUAAAAGAAAGAAAGAAAGACUUAUUUAGAGGAAAAAAGAAUAUGGCAUCAUGACAGCA
ensembl:lncRNA